UCAGUUGCUUGGCUGUUUUUUGCUUUGUUUUUUGCAUCUGGAGAGAAAUCUGGAAGGAUGACAGUCGGUCGGUGUCGGUUAUCGGUGGCGUGACCCGUGCGUUUUCGCUUUGGGCCAUGUGUGUGUGUGUGUGUGGUGAAGAGGCUGGAGGAGGAAAACUUAUCGGAGAAGGCUGCGAUUGGCUAUGACGUGUUUAAUAAGUAGCUCGCAACUAUUGAACUAUAGGUCACAGUAAAAGGCAUGUAGACUAAGCCAUAUAUUACUAAUCGUUUAGCCAGGCUGCCGUGGCACUAUUGUAGUGGAAAAGCCUCAUUCGGGAGGCAGUUUGGCUGGCGGGGGCGUACAGAAGGCGCUCGUGUACCAAGCCAGCACGUUUCUCUGUGUCUGCAGCGACCACCUCCACCUCCACCUCCACCUCCAGCAGCAGCGGAUCGGGGAGGGCGUAGCCGGAGGAACCGACGACGCGCGCCGACGGCGCCGGGCUCGGGAGGAGCAGUCAGCGGCGGCGGCGCUUCCUCCGAUGCCCUGCCGGCCGCUCGCGGAUCGUGUCGCCGAGGAGCGCUGUCCGAGGUGCUGAAGCGACCCCCCUCCCCUCCCCUUCCCUCCCCUCUCCCCUCCCCACCACCCUCCACCCGCUGGGCUCCCCUGUUUUUAUCCCGGUCGAGACGACGCGCACGCACUGACGUGGAUGCGGAGCAGCGCGGCGCACGGCACCGCCGGCCGGAGUCGAUGGGAGCGCACGUCCGCCGAGCGUUAGAAAGAUGGAGAGGUUUUUCCUGCUCGCCCUCGGCUGCCUCGGCGCCUCUCGAGUCGCAGCGGAUAGCUUGUCACCUCCUGUCAAUGUGACCAUCAAAGCGCUGAAAGCAAACUCCGCUGUGGUGACAUGGGACAUCCCCGAGGGAGACUCCGUCAUUGGCUUUGCCAUCACACAGCAGAAGAAAGACGUGCGCAUGCUGCGAUUCAUCCAGGAAGUCAACACCACCACGCGCUCCUGUGCACUAUGGGACUUGGAGGAAGAGACGGACUACAUUGUGCAUGUCCAGUCCAUCGGCAUGUCUGGGACGAGUCCGCUGAGCGAGCCGCUGCGCUUCCGAACGCCGAAGGAGGCCGAGACUCAGGCCUCUAAGAGUAAAGACGAAGUGACGAUGGAGGAAGUGGGCCAGAGCACCCAGCUGAGGGCAGGGGAGCUCAUCAUCAUCGUGGUGGUGCUCAUCAUGUGGGCAGGCGUGAUCGCUCUCUUCUGUCGCCAGUACGACAUCAUCAAAGACAACGAGCCCAACAACAACAAGGACAAAGCCAAAAACUCCUCGGAGUGCAGCACUCCUGAACACCCAACGGGGGGCCUGUUGCGCAGUAAGGUAUAACCCACCCCCCUCCUCCUCCUCCUCCUCCUCCUCUUCUCCCCGGGCGCCUCCCCCUCAGCAGCGCCGGGCAGUUCCCCAGGAACAACAACAACAACAACAAGAUGCCAUCUGUGAACAUCAUCGAAGUGUGACUGCCAGGAACGUCUUCUCUUUGUCCGAAAAGACUUUGCGUGCUCACAAACAAGAAGGGGCCCCCAUUUAAGCCCAUUUGCUUGUCAGGUUAAGGCUGGGAGUCUGAGGCCCCCUCUGCGGCGCCUACUGUCCUUUUUGGGGGGGGGGGGGGUGUCAGAUACGAACCUGGCCAGUGCUACUCUGAGAGCAGAGUCGCCAGUGGAGAGACUGUGGCGAGAGCCGAAUGGCUGCACUGCGCUCAAUGACUACUGUGCCGUGGGGCAGCAGAGAUUAGGGCCAAAUGGCUCCGGUGGCGGAGCAACUGCAGAUAAACCAACCACAGGGACCAACGCUGAUAAACGGAGACCCUUGCUUUCUUUCUCUCCCCCUCGGUCUCCUCUCGCUGUCUUUCAGUGCGUUAUCAGCAGCCAUUAACCCGGACCUUCCCCGUCUCUGGGCGGCACUGAGAUGAAUCCACUUUAUUGAAGCCGUCCCCUGUACCUUCAUCUCUUCAUCUCCACCUAAUUGUCUUCAUCUUCAUCCGUUUUUUUCUAUUCCUACUUCUUAAUCGUAUAGGAAAAUACUGUAGAUGGUUCGACUGUGUCACUGUAGCUCUACGUCUUUGAUUUUCAACAAGGUGCCGCCAGAGCACUCCGGUUGUUCUGGUAACUUUUCUUUUUGUACUUAUUGUAGAACAGCCCCUCCCCCCCCCCCUCCCUCCCUUUUGCCGUGGGCAGAAAGUCUUUACCGUCCUACGGGAAAUGUUUUCAUUCUGGCGAGCUCGUUUUCCCACCUCAGGGAAUCCAGACUCCACCUGGCCAAUUUAGAACCAUUUCUUAGAUUAGCUGUGGAGGGAUCACCCGGCUCACCACCAGAGCCGAGUCUCCCAAUUCUGUCGGACGAGAUAAAUCUCAUUAGCCGGUAUUGAAAGGCAUCUCCGAUCUGAACACGUGUGGACAGUGGAGUCCAUUACAUUUUUUUGGUCGCACUUGCUCUUUGUCAUUAUCUCACGUCGUUCUUGCUUUGAUUAUACACUUCUGACAUGUGACAUUCCACGUCCGGGAUGAGCCCUUGAGUAUUUCCUCGUGUCUUCCUCUUUGUGGGGUGAUGGAUUUCAAAGCAUUACUGGGUGGGGGAGGAAAAGGAGCUGCCAUAACGGAGUGCAUUCAUCUAAUUAAGGAACUUGAAAAGGGGGCUGGACUCAACGGAUGUCUACAGAGGACUGAAGAGAUCCCUUGUGUCAGCAAUAACAGCCCUCAGCCGAGUGCAGGAGCCAGGACUCUUCGGUCCCCCUCCCUCCAAAACUUGACCUCCCAGCAUGCACUGUUCCUGUUCAGAAGAAGAAACUGAGCGUAGAAUACGAGGGAACGAAUCCCGAGUCUGGUUGCAGAUGAUCCCUCCUCUGAACUUUCAAAGAAAAGUCUCACAGCGCUGUUGUAAAAACUUUGGUUUGUGAUGGCAAGCAUGAAGAAAAAAGAAGAAAAAAAACCUUUUAUACAGGCCCAAAUCCUAAGACUGCGUCGUGACAUCCUGGACAGAUGACACCAAGACAGAAAGGCUUCGAUCGAGACUUGUUUUUCUCAAUUCAAAGUCAGUAUUUGUGUUGAACUCCAUGUUGAAGGGAUAAGGGAUCAACUGUGGCCAUUCGGUACUGUGAUCGGUGAGGGAAGCUGUUAGGACAGUGUAUUUGCGGGCUGAUUUAACUCAGUAGUACUGCCUUAAAAACAAUCUUAUCUCAUGAUUUAACUAAUAAGAUGGAAGGUCUCAUAUCUCGCGUUUUGUGUGCUUUACCUUUUACGUAAUAUUUUUUAAGUGUGUGCAAAGUCAAAGGAAACAUUGAGGACACUUGGACCGAGCCGAGAUAAGUCUGAAAACGGAAAGGAGCGUCAUUUGAUGUGUACAUACCUUUUAUAUUUCAUUCUUGUCGCGUGGCGUCACUUGUGAGAGCCUUUUAUCAAAUAUGAAAGAACUCCUGUGGAAGAUGUAUAGCCUUGAAAUGUGAGAGGGCACUGCCACUGGUGAAAAUGUAGGUGAUUUUUUUUUUUAUGUUGCACACAGCUAUAAAUGUCCUGUUAUUAACACGCUCUUUCAUGGCACCCUUCUACUGAUCUGUGGUUUCUCUUACAUUCGGUCAUUGUGCUGCAUUGUGCAACAGGAAGAGUGAUUUAAAGUGUUUUAAAUAAUCAUUCAAACAAAGCAGUUAAAAGCCACUCAGCCGCUGGACCUUUUCUAUUUUACUGACGGGCCAGAUGAUAGACCCUCUCGUUAAUUUUGGGACAAACGCACGAGUCAUUAAUCAUAAUCCUAAUACGUGUGUUCACAAACGCAACAGAUCACAACUGAACCCAAAGUGUAGUGGAGAGAGGAACGCCACAAAGGCAGUUAAGAGAGCGUUGAAGGUUAUGGUCGGGUAUAGUGGUAGAAUAACUAAUGCAGUGGAAGGCUUUUAUCACUCCCUUCCUUCCUUCACCCCCCCCCCCCCCCCCCCCCCCCACCCCCACCCCCCCCCCCCCCCCCUCCUCUUCCACUCCUAAUAAGAGAGGAGAAGCUCAAGAUUGUGCUCCUCCGAAGAGCGCCUGAUUCGUGUCAUUUGUAUUUUUAGCGUAAAGAGUGGAGAAAAAAAGGGGGGGGGGGGAUGAGAGGGGUCCCCCAGGACAAACUCGAAGCAGCGAUCUGCGGCAUCACACCAGAGUGAUCAUCACUUCCCCCCAAAAACUUCCGCGGCUGGAGACGGAAUCCAUUUGCCCCCCAGGAACACGCCCAGGUACCGGGGCCUCUCCAAUCAACAGGCAUCCAUCCCCACAGAAACGUACUGUAUGACGAUGACGAUGAUCAUCUGCAGGUGGUGGUACACUCCUAUGCUGCCACUGUAAAUAACGUAUUCCUGAUUUGAACGUGGGGCCAUUGUGAACAUUCACUCGUGCGGCAGGUUGGUGUCCAACUUUGGACUAAUUGGCAUUUUGGGAAAUACGAUAAUAUUUCUGCAGAGAAAGUUCAGAAGAUCGAUACCACUGGUAUGAAUAUGAAGCGACUGUACGACCAGAAGCUAGCUAUCGUAGGUUUGGCAUGAAGACUAGAACAAACACAUUUUUGUGCUAAGCUAUGCUAAGCAGCUGCUGUCUGGGGCCACGUCGCUCGUAUGACUCAUAAUGACGCUCUCAUCUCAACUCGCGACAAGACAAGAAACCUGAUUCAGCACAUUCCCCAAAAUGUUGAGCGACUCUGUUAAGGGUUGCAGUAUCUGCAUAUAUAAUCUAUGUGUUGUGCGCUUCAGUUUGAUGGAGCAGCAUUUGAUUUGCCAUAGAAGUGGGUUGGACCAUGACACACUUACUCACGGAGGUGUCACACGUCGGGUGGAUCGGUGCGGGGCGGUCGCCGCACAUUUCACAAGCACCUGGCGGCAGUUCGCUCACACAAGAUGGUUUGAGGUAAAGUUGUGUAUUGGUGGGAGGAUUAUUGAUGCCUCAUAUAAAUAUUCACCAUCCCUCAACUGCAGAUGACAAAAAUCUUGUUUUCUUUUUUAACCACACUCGACAUAUGGUGACGACUGUAAGAACUCGACAUUCCACUCGUGUCAGGCCACAACAACACACUGAGGACUUUUCUUUCAGUGUCAAAGGCCCAAGGCGAUUUUUUUCUCAAGCUACUAUAUGUGCCAUACAAUGCCUGGGAAACAUGCUCGGUACAGUAGCUAUGAUGGACCAUUCUGCGACGAGGUAGGCGGUGACAGAGACGGGAUUUUUCAAAAAAACAAAUUGCACAGUGUGUAUUUUGCUUGAGACUAGACACACGCCUGGAAGUUUGGACAAUUUUGUCAAGAGGGGUAACUGAACAUUAGGAAUGAGAUCCACAGAGAAGCAUGGUUUAGAAAAAAUGAACUGCUUUAUUAGUGCUAUCAUGUUUCUAUUCAUUGUACGUGCACAGCAGUCAUUGCUUGAUGAGGGCUAGCAUGAUUUAACUAUUAUGCACAAGGUCACAACUUCUAUUAUGAAGAAUACGGUGUAUGCUUACUUGUGUAUGCUUCAAUAAAAAUGUGUAAUAUUUUCAAACAAA